AAUUUUUUGUAAUUUAAUUUUUUAUUAUUAUAUUUUUCUUUGUACAUUUUUGUGUAAAAGAAAAUGUGAGAGUAAAUUAGACUUUCAUAAUUUGUUCUUUACAUUAAGUACUUAAAUUAGUCUGUUUUCCAAUUAGCUGUGAGCCUGUGAUGUCAGUUCAUAUGGACAUAUUUAUUCAAAUUUUGUUUUGGUUAUACACCUAAAAUUAUACUAAUUAACCUCAGGUUAGAGGGGAUAUCACAAGGGCUUUAAUGUACAUGGCAGUCGCUUAUGGGUUUCAGCAACCAGGGAGAAAUCCAAGUCUUCGCCUCUCAGAUACUCCAAAUGUUGGUAGGUUGGAGCACUGCAGAUUCAGACUCCUCACCUCUGUCCCAACUUCUAUUCGUUGUUAGUGCCUCCUUCCUUCUACUCUAAUCAUUACUUCUGGUGUUUUCUGUUUAGUUUGAUCAGAACUUUCUUUUGUUCAUGGAUUUUAAUGUUGCACAGAUUGUUGCUAUUGGUGCCAUUACAAGUGCAUUUCAUGAAUUCAACAAUGCUCUGUAGCUUGAUCACUUAAAGCAUGGAUUAUUCAAUGGCAUUUGGAAUCCUGCUCGUCUUUUAUAUUUGGUAUUUGAGUUAUGAAGGAGCUUAUAAGAACCAACAGGAGAACUCUUCGGCAGAAUCAGUUCACUAGAAUCAUGGAAAUUAUAGUAACCAUUGUAAGAAGGGAUA